GUGGGGAAUAUUGGACAAUGGGCGAAAGCCUGAUCCAGCCAUGCCGCGUGUGUGAAGAAGGUCUUCGGAUUGUAAAGCACUUUAAGUUGGGAGGAAGGGCAGUAAGUUAAUACCUUGCUGUUUUGACGUUACCAACAGAAUAAGCACCGGCUAACUUCGUGCCAGCAGCCGCGGUAAUACGAAGGGUGCAAGCGUUAAUCGGAAUUACUGGGCGUAAAGCGCGCGUAGGUGGUUUUGUAAGUUGGAGGUGAAAUCCCCGGGCUCAACCUGGGAACUGCCUCCAAAACUGCAUGACUAGAGUACGGUAGAGGGUAGUGGAAUUUCCUGUGUAGCGGUGAAAUGCGUAGAUAUAGGAAGGAACACCAGUGGCGAAGGCGACUACCUGGACUGAUACUGACACUGAGGGGCGAAAGCGUGGGGAGCAAACAGGAUUAGAAACCCCUGUAGUCC
rnacentral:rRNA from 1 species